UACAGAGGGGGCAAGCGUUGUUCGGAAUUACUGGGCGUAAAGGGCGCGUAGGCGGCCUUCUAAGUCGAACGUGAAAUCCCCGGGCUCAACCCGGGAACUGCGUCCGAUACUGGAAGGCUUGAAUCCGGGAGAGGGAUGUGGAAUUCCAGGUGUAGCGGUGAAAUGCGUAGAUAUCUGGAGGAAUACCGGUGGCGAAGGCGGCAUCCUGGACCGAGAUUGACGCUGAUGAGCGAAAGCUAGGGGAGCAAACGGG
rnacentral:rRNA from 1 species